rnacentral:lncRNA from 1 species
AUGCAGGUGAUGGAGGAGCUGAUGAGGUGGGGGGUGCUUCUGGACCUUGUUCUUACCAACAGGGAUGGGCUUGUUAGGGAUGUGAAGGUUGGGGGCAGCUUGGGAUGCAGCGAUCAUGAGAUGGUGGAGUUCAAGAUGGAACUUGGUGGAAGAAGUAAGGCAAAAAGUAGGAUUGCUACCCUGGACUUUUGGAGAGCCAACUUUGACCUCUUCCAGGACCUACUUGGGGGUAUUGCAUGGUCUAGUUUGCUAGAAGGUAAAGGUGCUUAUGAGAGCUGGGCAACGUUUAAACAGCACUUCUUCCAAGUUCAGGAUCGGUGUAUUCCUAAGAGUAGGAAAUCAGGGAAGGGGGGCAGAAGACCUGCGUGGAUGAGCAAGGAGCUCAUCGACAAGAUCAAAAGGAAGAAGAAGGGCUAUGAAACGUGGAAAAUGGGCCUGUCUCCUUGGGAGGAGUAUAGGAGUGCUGUCAGGGCCUGCAGAGAUGCAACGAGGAAGGCUAAAGCCCACCUGAAGAUGAAGCUGUCAAAGGAGAUAAAGGAUAAUACGUUUUUUUUUUUUGUUUUGUUUUCUUUUCUUUUUUUUUUUUUUAAGUAUGUAAACAGUAAAAGGAAGACUAGGGAUAAUGUGGGUCCCCUGGUGAAUGAGGGGGGUAUCCUGGUAAUGGGGGAUGCUGAGAAGGCGGAGAUACUGAAUGCCUUCUUUGCUUCAGUCUUUGCUUCAAAGACUCCCCCUUGGGACUCCUGGACCCUGGAGGGAGGAGAAAGAGUCUGGGAAAUGAAGAGCUCCCCUCUGGUUGAGAAGGGAGUGGUUCAGGAGCGUCUGAGUGAGAUGACCGCACACAAAUCCAUGGGCCCUGAUGGAAUGCAUCCACGUAUGCUGAGUGAGCUGGCAGAGGUGAUUGCCAAACCACUCUCUAUCAUCUUUGACAGGUCUUCGAGAACAGGAGAGAUGCCUGAGGACUGGAGGAUGGCCAAUGUCACUCCAGCCUUUAAAAAGGGCAAGGAGGAUCUGGGAAACUACAGGCCAGUCAGUCUCACCUCUGUCCCUGGAAAGGUGUUGGAACAGCUUGUUCUGGAUGCCAUCUUCAAGCAAUUGGAAGAGAAGAAGUUUAUGAGGAGUAGUCAGCAUGGAUUCACCAAGAGGAAAUCAUUCUUGACCAACUUCAUUGCCUUCUAUGAUCAUCACCAGCUGGGUAGAUGGGGGGAGAGCAGUGGAUGUCAUCUACCUUGA